GUUUCUGUAGUGUAGUGGUUAUCACAUUUGCCUAACACGCGAAAGGUCCCCUGUUCAAAACCAGGCAGAAACA
rfam:Heterocephalus glaber contig157359, whole genome shotgun sequence.